rnacentral:piRNA from 1 species
UACCUCAGCAUACAUUUUGCACAACACAC